UACGGAGGGUGCAAACGUUGCUCGGAAUCAUUGGGCGUAAAGCGCACGUAGGCGGCCUGUUAAGUCGGAUGUGAAAGCCCCGGGCUCAACCCGGGAAGUGCAUUCGAAACUGGCGGGCUUGAAUAUGGAAGAGGGUCGCGGAAUUCCCGGUGUAGAGGUGAAAUUCGUAGAUAUCGGGAGGAACACCAGUGGCGAAGGCGGCGACCUGGGCCAAUAUUGACGCUGAGGAGCGAAAGCCAGGGGAGCAAACGGG
rnacentral:rRNA from 1 species